rnacentral:tRNA from 1 species
AGGGAUGUAGCGUAGUUUGGUAGCAGCUUUGUUUUGCAUAAAUAAUGACAUGGGUUCAAAUCCUAUCAUCCCAA